rnacentral:rRNA from 1 species
CACGGCCUAACACAUGCAAGUCGAACGCAUCUUUCGGGAUGAGUGGCAGACGGGUGAGUCACACGUGGGAACGUACCCUUUGGUUCGGAACAACUCCGGGAAACUGGAGCUAAUACCGGAUACGCCCUUUUGGGGAAAGGUUUAUCUGCCGAAGGAUCGGCCCGCGUCUGAUUAGCUAGUUGGUGGGGUAACGGCCUACCAAGGCGACGAUCAGUAGCUGGUCUGAGAGGAUGAUCAGCCACACUGGGACUGAGACACGGCCCAGACUCCUACGGGAGGCAGCAGUGGGGAAUAUUGGACAAUGGGCGCAAGCCUGAUCCAGCCAUGCCGCGUGAGUGAUGAAGGCCUUAGGGUUGUAAAGCUCUUUUGUCCGGGACGAUAAUGACGGUACCGGAAGAAUAAGCCCCGGCUAACUUCGUGCCAGCAGCCGCGGUAAU